rnacentral:lncRNA from 1 species
UUUGGAGGAUACCAAAUAAAUUCAAGACUCUCAAAUUUAGACAUUUUAAAUUUUAGUUGUAUUGUAAUUUAAUUGUUAGAAUUUUUAGACAAACUCUUUGCAUCUUGGGCCAAUUUUGGAAAAAUGUUGUUGGGCCCAAUUUUACUAGACACUUGACACUUGGCAACCCUAGGGUUGGGUGGACCCCACCCUAAAUUUUGAGAGGCACUUGGUCCUAGAAAGUGAGACAGCCGUCACAUUUUUUUUCUCAUUCUUAGGGGCUGGAACGUAAGCUUUGCUGUAACGUUUCUCAUUUUUCUUUGAAACCAUGCAUUUACAUUUUGAUGAUGGAUGAAUGAAAACCCAUUUUCUCUUUUCUUAUCUUCUUGUGCAAGAGNUGUCUCGGUUUAAUUUUAAAUUCAAUAGAAGUUUGGGAGCACGGUCUUGUCGAGAAUUGAGGGGAUGUGUCAUUUUUAUUUUUAAGCAAAUGUCAAUUCAUUGUAGCUGGAGAAACACACGAACAUUGCAUUUCAUUUGGAGAGAAAAAUUAAGGGCCGGUUUCGUUUCAUGAGUGCAUGUGAUUUUUAACUUUUCUUUAUUUGAUUGAGUGACUAGUUGAUUAGGUGAGAGUUGGAGAUGGGACGUGCAAACUUGGCAGCUGAAUGNUUUUAGAUUUCUUUUCUUUUAGAUAGUAGUAGUUUGGUAGCUAGAUAGUAGUAGUGUAGUACGGUGCAGGGCCUUGUUUUGAUUGAAUUUUGGAAGAAUUGCUGCAACGUUGGGCACAUUCUUGGAGAUGCAAUUUGGCUGGUCCNAGAAGAUUUCUUUGGGAGCAUCAUCUUUCAUUUAAAAAACCAUUUUUUUUGGUCAUUCAACAUGAAGGGAAUAGGAGAGAAUUAACUUACGGCAUGCGAUUUGGUGACAUUGUUUUUCAUUGUUUUUUUUAUUUUUUUUAAAAGCUACAUUCAACAUUAAAAACGCUGCUUUUCUUUUUGUCUCGGUGCUUUCAUUGCUUGGCUGAUUCCAUUUAUCUUGUGCUGCCACGUCGUCCAACAAUUGAAGUAAAAACAGGGGUUUUAGUUUUAUUACUUAUAUGCUUGAACAAAUUUCCUAUUGCAGCACAUGUCUCGGUGCAUGAAUGAUUAUGUAAGGUUGAUUUAAUUUCUUUAAAAGUAAAUGGACGUGCUUAUUUUAUUGUUAGGUGGAUGAAUGAUUAAGUAAGUGCCACGACCUGAGCAUUGGAGAAAGGAAGAGCACGUUGUUUUUAUUUUUAUUUUUUUUUUUUCCUUAUGUCUUGCAUGUUUAAUUAAUUGCUAGCCAUUUUAUUUUUUUUAGUGACUUAUCUUUUAUUUUUAUUUUUAUUUUAAUUCUAGUGUUCACUUUAAAGAUUUUGAUUAUGCUUUGUGUGUUUAAUUUCCAUUUUAAUUUAGUCAUUUGCAUUUAUAAAACCUUUCACCAAACCCCCCCACUGUGUGUGUUAGGCCUAAUUCCUGAACCACAUUUGG